rnacentral:tRNA from 1 species
GGUGUUGUGGCUUAGUGGUAGAGUGCUUGUCUAGCAAGCAGGAGGCCCUAGGUUCGAUCCUCAGCACCA